CAGGUAGGACUACCCGCUGAACUAAGAA
rnacentral:rRNA from 1 species